UGGGGAAUUUUGGACAAUGGGCGCAAGCCUGAUCCAGCCAUGCCGCGUGCGGGAAGAAGGCCUUCGGGUUGUAAACCGCUUUUGUCAGGGAAGAAACGGUGAAAGCUAAUAUCUUUUGCUAAUGACGGUACCUGAAGAAUAAGCACCGGCUAACUACGUGCCAGCAGCCGCGGUAAUACGUAGGGUGCAAGCGUUAAUCGGAAUUACUGGGCGUAAAGCGUGCGCAGGCGGUUAUGUAAGACAGAGGUGAAAUCCCCGGGCUCAACCUGGGAACGGCCUUUGUGACUGCAUAGCUAGAGUACGGUAGAGGGGGAUGGAAUUCCGCGUGUAGCAGUGAAAUGCGUAGAUAUGCGGAGGAACACCGAUGGCGAAGGCAAUCCCCUGGACCUGUACUGACGCUCAUGCACGAAAGCGUGGGGAGCAAACA
rnacentral:rRNA from 1 species